GACGAACGCUGGCGGCGUGCUUAACACAUGCAAGUCGAACGAUGAAGCCCAGCUUGCUGGGUGGAUUAGUGGCGAACGGGUGAGUAACACGUGAGUAACCUGCCCUUGACUCUGGGAUAAGCCUGGGGAACUGGGUCUAAUACUGGAUAUGACUUCUCAUCGCAUGGUGGGGGGUGGAAAGAUUUAUUGGUCUUGGAUGGACUCGCGGCCUAUCAGCUUGUUGGUGAGGUAAUGGCUCACCAAGGCGACGACGGGUAGCCGGCCUGAGAGGGUGACCGGCCACACUGGGACUGAGACACGGCCCAGACUCCUACGGGAGGCAGCAGUGGGGAAUAUUGCACAAUGGGCGCAAGCCUGAUGCAGCGACGCCGCGUGAGGGAUGACGGCCUUCGGGUUGUAAACCUCUUUCAGUAGGGAAGAAGCGAGAGUGACGGUACCUGCAGAAGAAGCGCCGGCUAACUACGUG
rnacentral:rRNA from 1 species